CCCUUAGAUGUUCUGGGCUGCACGCGCGCUACACUGACGCACGCAGCAGGUGCCUGCUCCGAGAGGACUGGGUAAUCAUUUGAGUGUGCGUCGUGAUGGGGAUAGAAUAUUGUAAUUAUUACUCUUCAACGAGGAAUUCCUAGUAAGCGCCAGUCAGCAGCUUGCGCUGAUUACGUCCCUGCCCUUUGUACACACCGCCCGUCGCUCCUACCGAUGGGUGAUCCGGUGAAUGAUUCGGACUUCAGCGGCUCCCCUGGGGUGCGCCGGAGAAAGUUUUGUGAACCUUAUCACUUGGAGGAAGGAGAAGUCGUAACA
rnacentral:rRNA from 1 species